UCGUAUCUCUGACGGGGCGGGUCGACCCUGCUCGGGCCUCUCCAAAGGGCCUUUGCAGCGGGUCCCCCGUCGUGCUCAACCUUCACAAACCCUGUGCACCUUCUCGGCGGAGGGUGGUGGCGAGAGCCCCGCCCGAAACCGUUCACAAACACUUAAUAAAAAAGAAUGACCAGUGGCCUAUGCGCCGCCUAAAAACAUAA
rnacentral:misc_RNA from 1 species